UCACUCCGAGAGAGUCAGACACCAACACGCUCCCCAUCAAACGAGAGCUCAGCUCACGUCCUACAAAAAUUUCACAAAUUUUCAACAUUUCCAACUUUCCACCAAGUUCACAAGAGAAGAACGCUGGAGGAGUUGAGCAUCGCUUAAAAAUCGUGAAGGACUGAAAAGCAGGAUUCCAAAAAGAAAAGAUUUUCCUCCUGAACUGAUUGGAUCCCGAACACGCCAAGUUUUAAGGAGGAGCCGUUGGUUUGAUUCCGAGGGUAGUUCCCAACAGAGCAAACCUUGGACGGGAUGGAGGUCAACCAGAAAAUGCGCAGAGGCCAGAAAGCGCUCGUCCCCACAACGAAGAAAGGAGUCAUCUUUCACGAGAACGGACGACUUCCUCCUCACCCACAACCAACAGCACGUGACGAUAACCAAGUGCAAUCCCCUUCGUCCAGCAGCAGGUCACUAAACACCAAGAAAUCACCGCAAGUUCGCAAUAAGAAAAUCUUCCUCUGCAAAAUCUGCAUUUGUCUCUUCACCAACGCAACCAGUGCUCACUUCCACGCCCGCACCCACCUCAACGCGGAUGAGCUGGAGCAGUCCUCACUGUUCCAUGAAAAGUGCCCCCACUGCCGAAAAAUGUUCUUCCAUCGUCGCCACUUUACCCAUCAUCUCUUCGUCCAUUUGAGUCGCGAGGAGCGCGCGGCGGUGCGACAGGGCUGGCGACACGGCUGCUACUUCUGCAGCAAACGGUUCAAAACUCCAUCCCAUCUCAGUCAUCAUCUUGUGACCCACACGAAGGAAAAGUUGGGCGGAAGGUGUCCCACUUGUAGAAAAACGUUCUCCUCCAAACGAACCCUCACCAGUCAUCGGUUUACCCAUCUCAGCGAGGACGAGAAGGUCGCCCUCGUGAAGCAGGGGAAGAGUCGUGUGUUUAUUCUGCCAAAAGAUAUUCCCCGAUAACCACACUUAUCAGGCUCACCUCGUCUCCCACACGAAGGAGAAACCUUUCCGCUGCGACCAGUGCGGGGAGCUGUUCAGUUUGGAAAGUAACUUAACCAGGCAUGCGCGCAUCCACAGCGCGGACCCGCGGCCCUUCAAGUGCACCGAAUGCGGGCAAGCCUUCACUCAAAAAAUAUCCAUGGCCAGGCACAAGAAGACAGUUCACCGGAAGCGGAAGGACAUCACCUGCCCCGAGUGUGCCAAGAAGUUCGGCGAGAAGGGUAGCAUGGUGCGACAUCUGAGGGGUGUUCAUGCCAAAAUCCGGCACCCUUGCCCCCACUGCGGGGAGACGUUCACACAGAAAGCAAAUCUUGGGAGACAUUUGAAGAAAGGUCAUCCCCAAGGAUCAAGUCCUUAUUCAUCUGCCAACUGACCUUACGACACACUUCCGAUACUUUAUAUAGUUUUUAAGUUUUUCCGGUUUCACUACAUAUUUAUGACGAGAUAAUUGUUCUCGUACGAUUCGUAAAAAUGGCAUAGUUGAAGUAUUAAUUUGCAAACAUGACCCAAUAUUUGUUACCGUUUUGACCAUGUCGAUUUUUAUGUAGUAAAGUCAUUCUAUUAUGUGUAAAA